CUUGACUAUAAUGGCAGUCUACCGUUCAUUUUGGCGAUUCCUUCCUUAUCUCAUCGCAGGGAGCAUUCCCAUCACCAUCAUCGAUAUCAGAAAACUUUCAUCCUAAUUCCAAUCCCAAGCAAGAAAAAAUGGCUGAUGCUGCUCUUAGUGCUACCAUUCAGGUUGCAUUGCAGACGGUUGUUUCCCUUGCCGGUGACCAUGUUAAUCUGGUUCGUGAAUUCCCAGAGGAGCUGGAGAGAUUCAACCAAUCUGCUGCUAUGAUCCGAGGCUUCUUGGCCGGUGCCGAAAAGGACAUGCGUAGACCAGGGGUGCAAAAUUGGCUCGAGCAGCUGGAAGAUGAGGUUUUCAAAGCUGACAAUGUGCUGGACGAGCUCAACUAUGAAAUUCUUCGUCGGAAGGUGAAGUGUCAAAAUCAACUCAUGAAAAAGAAGGUACUCUUCUGCUUUUCAUUCUUUAAUAAAAUUGGUUUUCGUUGGAGGUUGGGUUCAAUGAUCAGGAAGAUCAACACGAACCUUGAAAGGAUCCAUGGCCAUGCCAGAGGUUUGGGACUGGAAUGCAAGGGCCAAUCUGAAGAAGCAUCUGGAGCCACAGCAAGCCGACAGACCGACUCUAAGAUUGUUCGAGGUGAUGUCCUAGGAAGAGACGAGGAUGAAUCAGAAAUAGUUAAGAAGUUGUUGACCGAAUCUGAAAGUGAUAGUAUUUCAGUUAUUUCCAUAACUGGCCCGCCAGGAUUAGGAAAAAAACUCUAGCUAAAGCCGUUUUCAACACUCCACAGUUUGAUAAUCAUUUUGACAAAAAAAUUUGGGUUUGUGUGGCUAAAGAAGUUGAAAUCACGGAGCUCUUCAAAAUGAUUCUAGAAUCGUCAACCAAAAAAAAGGCUGAAGUGGAUAGUAGGCAGGUAAUAGUUGAAGGAAUUGAAACUGAACUUAAGGAAAAAAGAUAUUUGCUUGUUCUUGACGAUUUGUGGAAUCAUCAAGAAGGAUUGUUGAAUGACUUUUUCACCACUUUGGAGGCACUCAAACCGAAGAAAGGGAGCUGGUGUCUUGUUACUUCUCGUCUCCAAGAAGUGGCAAUUGUUCUGUCAAGACAUCGGCGGAUCAAUUUUACUCGUCAUGACCUAAGAAAGCUGUACGAUGAUGACUGCUGGUCUAUCGUGAAAAAUUGGGCAACUGUAGGGGAAGAAGUACCAAAAGAAUUGGAAGACAUAAGGGAGCGAGUUUUAAGAAGAUGUGACGGUCUACCUCUGGCAGCAACGUUAAUCGGAGGUUUGUUAUCUAAAAAGAGAAAAGAGAAUUGGCAAUCUAUUUUGGAGGAGAGCCUCUUGAAUGGAGAUCAGGGUGGGAUUGAGCAAAUACUUAAGGUGAGUUUUGAUCAUCUGUCACCUGCACCGGUUAAGAAAUGUUUUGCAUAUUGCUCAAUUUUUGAUCAAGAUGCUGAGUUGGAACAAGAUCUACUAGUUGAGCUUUGGAUGGCUGAAGGCUUUCUUCAACCGGAUUCCCAAAAUCAAACGAUGGAGGGAAUGGGAUAUGAGUAUCUGAGAACUUUGCUGCAAACUUCCUUAUUGGAAGAAGUAAAAGGGAAGUGGAGAACAUGGUAUAAAAUGCAUGAUCUUGUGCAUGAUUUUGCAAAAUCAAUUUUGAAUCGUAACAGCAACAAUCAGGACCGUUACCUUGCGGUAUACUCACCCAAAAGAAUCAAUGAAAAAGUAUCAGCUUCGCUUCGGACAUUAUUUUUGAAGGGUGGCAUGGCUGAUGAUAUGUUAUCAAAGUUCAAAUACUUGCAUGUCCUAAAAUUAUUUGGAGAAGAUGUCAAAGAGUUGCCGACCUCCAUCGGCAAACUAAUACAUUUGCACUUACUUGACAUUUCAGGUUCUUGGAUUACAACGUUGCCAGAAUCUCUUUGCAAACUUUACCGUUUGCAAACACUGAGAAUUGGCAACCUUAAAGAAGGUUUUCCAAAGAAGAUGAGCAAUUUGAUUAGCAUGAGACAUCUUCACUAUUAUUAUCAUGCAGCACGCGAAAUCCAGAUGCCAUCCAGUAUUGGACGAUGGACUUGUCUUCAAACAUUAGAGUUCUUUAACAUAGGUCGUCAAGAGGAAGGUCGUGGUAUCCAAGAACUUGGGACCUUGCAAGAUCUUAAAGGCUCCUUGGAGCUCAGAAAUCUUGAAUUAGUAAAUGGCAAAGAUGAUGCUGAAUUGGCGAACCUAUCUAGAAAGCAAAAUCUGUAUCGGUUGGUAUUUGAGUGGGGCAACAGGGAUCAGGAAAGUGAUAAAUGCGAUGAAGAUGUGUUGGAAGGUCUCCAACCUCACCCAAGUUUAAAAGAGUUACAAAUUUUGAAUUUCAUGGGUGACCAUUUUCCACAAUGGUUCAUGAAUUUGACAUCACUAGUGGAGUUGCGGGUGGAGGAUUGCACAAGAUGCAGAGAACUCCCUGCACUAGGACAACUGUCAUCCCUCCAACAUCUAUAUCUGCGCAGAUUGGAAAACACAACGUGCAUUGGGCUUUCAUUCUAUGGUAUUAGUGAUGAGCAGGACGGAAGAUCAGCAGGUUCAGGCACUACUAGCAGACAAACAUUCUUUCCAUCCCUUAAAAUUCUCUCUCUUGAAAGCAUGGAAAGGUUGGAAGAGUGGAAGGACGCACAUGAAGUGAUGCAUGUGUUUCCCGUGCUGGAAAAGUUGUAUAUAAGGGAUUGCCGCCAGCUGACCACCAUUCCAACUCCAAGUCGUUUCCCAAGUCUUGAUGUAUUGGAAAUCGAAGAGAAUUGCCAUGUUUUGCUGGUAGAAGAGGUUUUGAGCAGUAUAACCAAUCUCUCGUCCCUUCAAUUAAGUAGUCAUCGUCAACCCAAAGAGUCUCUAAAUUUAGUGAAACGACCAGAGAGUAGUUUGAGGAUUGAUGGCUGUGAUAAUCUACCCACUGACAUGCUCGAGCGACUCUGUCAUUUUCCAACUCUUCAAAGUGUAGAAUUGUGGGAGUGCCCUAAUAUAACAACAUUAAGAGGAAUGAGUUGCGCCGCUUGUCUUAAGACAUUGGGGGUCAGAGGUUGUACGCAUUUACGGGAGUUGCCAGAAGAUCUUUAUCAAUUUCAAGCUUUAGAGCACUUGGAGAUGACGCGUUGCCCGGAAAUUGAAUCAUUUGGAUCAAAUCCUAAUAAAGGACAGAAAAGCCUCCUCAAGUCUCUCGAGGUAUUAAAUAUUUUUUGGUGUCAUGGAUUAAAAAGAUUGCCGGCGGAAAUGUUCGAGUCGUGUACGUCUCUCCGAAAGUUGCAUUUGUGGGAUUGUCCCAAUCUGGUCUCCUUUCCCCUUGAUUUGUGACGAACCCCUUCUCUCGAGACCUUCUCGUUAUGGUCGUGUCCCAAAUUGAUUACCGAGUUGCCUAGUGGAUUUGGCUAUCUCACCAGCUUAAGGGAAGUGGAUUUGGCUAUCUCAGAUUACUCUGUAUUGGAAUUUGAUUGGGCUGGAUUGGCAUCCUCAUCGACGCUCCAGCACGUGGUUUUAAGUGGGCUGGAUUGGCAUCCUCAUCGACGCUCCAGCACGAAAUCUCUGCCACAUCAGCUUCAAGACUUGACUAACAUCACAUCACUGCAUCUAAAACACUUCGGAGAAAUCGAAGCCUUACCAGAUUGGCUUGGGAACCUUGAAUCUCUUGAAGAACUAAUUCUGUGGGAUUGCCAAAUGCUUAAAUAUUUGCCCUCCAUGGCUGCCAUGGAACGCCUCAAAUUGAGACGUCUGGAAAUUGAUGAUUGUCCUCUAUUAACCAAAAGAUGCACUCCUCAAAGCGGCUCCGAGUGGACCAAGAUCUCUAAUAUUCGUUACCAGCCAUAUCUCUGAGCCAUCCAUUCGUUGCUGUUCUUCACCAUCUUAUUCUAUCCAUAUUUGUCCCUCACUCUUUUUCUCUAUAACUCUCUGUUUCUCUAUUUAUAAACUGGUGAAGAUUACUUUCUCUUUCAAUUUAUGAACUAAUUCUUGUCAUUAACAAAGUAGAGUUACGAGCAAAUUGAAAGACAAUAAAAAUUGUGGUUUUCAUCUACUUUUCUAACCCAUCGAAAAGAUUAAUAAGAAAAUUGUGGUAAAAUUCACUAAUAUAUAUGAACUUGGUACUGACUAUUUGUCCAGAAAAUUCACAUUUUUUUUACACGAUGUUUUCCAAACAACAUUAAAACCAAUAAAAUAGCAAUUUUGAGAGAACAUUACAAUUUUUGUUUUUAUCGCUGGCAUUUAAUGGAUGGAUAUGUUCUUAAUCUUCACUGUUAUAUCCUCUGUAGGGACUUUACGUUAUGAUUGCCAAAAAAUUAGCUCAAUGUCGAUCAAGUUAAAAUUGUUUGCAGAGGAACUAGGGUGCUGUCAAAACUACAAAUGUAUAUCGUCUUUCAAAAUUUUUAAAGCUCAGAAACUAUAUCUAGCAACUUUUCUGUUUUGUGAAUUAGAUUGAUGAUAUUAUGGCCUCGCAGGCAACAAGUGUCAGUGAUGCAGAAAGCAGUCAUUGUGCCGAAACAUUAUGGAAGGCUCAAAAGUGUGCUCAAGGCAGAGUCAGCCUGGAACCUUUAAAGCAUCUUGUUGCACUGUUCACAUUCUGCAACUGCAACAUGAGGCUGUGGUUUCCAAUCUUUUUUGAAGAAAGAUGAGGAGAAUUUUUUUAGGAAGCAGAAAUCAAUGCUUUUUGGACAAAGAACACCAAGGUUCCCGUGUUGUUCUUAUGAGAAAGUCAGGGGGAGAAGUUAUUUUCACUUAUCAGUCAGGUUUUGAAGAUGGAAGUGUGUUGAAAACAGAGUGGCUUGUGCCAGGCUUGUAGGAAGUAGUAUGGAUGGAGAAGAAUUUAGAGGGGAGCAUAGUAACUGGUACUGGAGAGCUAUCAAGGUACAAGACUUGCUUGAAGAAAACUGGACUUACUGAUACUUUAGUUACAGAGGUGAGAAGAUUUGAUGCAAAGAAGUUAGACAUUGUAGAUAGCAUUGAUGAUCAUUUGGACAACAUAAAAGAAGCAUGUGACUGCAGUGCCAGUCAUUCAUUUGGGUGGAAACAUUUAAAAGAUUUGGUGCUGCAAUUGUAGAUGCAAGAAUUCCUAUGUCCUCAUCCAAGGUUCCCGCUAGAUCUUGCAAGGCCUUUGUCAAUUGGACAACAGCUUAUACCUUUCCACUCAAGAACAAGAGAGACUCAAGGUACAACUGUGCUAAUAGCUAGUCAUUCCAGGUAUCAGGCUCAGCGUUGAAUUUUUUUUAGUAAAAUAACAUAUCCUAAGUACUGUCGUGGUUGUUAACUAACUUAAUUAUUUUUACAUGUCUACUUCAAGAUAAAUAGUCACAAUCCAAAAAUUUGCAGUUUGAAUGAUCAAUAAACAGGUUUUGUUAUUGUGGCAUUCCAGCUUAUGUUGUAACAUGUAGGAAGCAGUGGUUUCCAAGCAAAAAUGUAUGGAUGGUGAUGUGGUAGAAAUUGUUCUCUCAAGGAGUGAUGAUCAUUCUUCUAGAAAGCAAUAUGCGACGGAGUAAAUGAACAGACUUCAUCUUGUUGGAAAAAGAACCACAUGGCUCCCUGUUGUUUUUGUGAGAAUGUCAAAGGGAAGAAAUUAUUUGUCACUGACCAGGCAGGUUUCGCAAAUGAAGAUGGUUACCGAUUACAGUUAUUUUGCUCAUUAAAUUGCAUUAGCCUUGAUGGAGACUUCUCAAACACCAAAUAGAAAAACUGAAAGUGUUAUGUCCUGUAGUGCUCGGAAUGCAGAAAUGAAGGCGAUGAUUUGGCUAUAUCUGAGAUUUGUGAAGACCAAUGAAGGUGGUAAAUCAAUAGUAAAUGUUACACAAGAAAGUUCUUCAAGGUGGUUCAUUCCAUUUCAUAGAGGUACUGUGCGACAAGUCUCUUCUUCUAAGGUUAGAUAAGCAUAUUUCAGCAUAGCCAUUGAAAUGAAGUUGACAGUUAAGUCUAACAAAUUCAAGGAAGAAGGAAACUACUUACCAACAAUUAUAGAAUAGUGACAUUCUUUUGCUGCUUCCUUCUGAAAAAGGUUAUCCUUUACUGAUCCAUUUUUGUCCCAAAUAUCUUAUGUAAGGAGUAUAUUCGCAUCUUAUGUAGUGACCUUUUACCUCGGCCAAUGGUAAUAAGCAUUAUCUUUUUGGAUUAA